UUUGUAAAUACCUAACUGAUAAAAGAUACCAUUUUAGAGGUCUCAGAGAGCGAUUAACUUGAUGACGAAUUGGUAGUCUUGACUCUACAAUUAUACCUUUUCCAAUGUAAAGUUCUCCACAAAUUGAGCAUAUAAAUCAAAACGUUAACGUUUAUUACCAACUGUUGAACCCACUCAAAACACGAGCGAGUUUAAAGAACUCGUCUGAUCAACUUUCCAAAAACUCUCAUCUACAACUAAUUAAGUAAACGUAUAAACGUGAGUCCCAUCGCGGUUAAAUAAAUCAAAAAUCUACAAAUUGGCUGAAACAACACCUGUGCCAGUCGAAUACUGGCCAUCAAGCUUUUAAAACGACAUCUAAAAUUGCAGGCUUGACAGAAACGCGACAGAUAAAAACUGGUCAGAAAAGUAUUUAAGUUUUAAAAUUUGAAUUUCGAAUCGAGCGCGAAGUGGGUGUGGGUACGCACAUUACCAACUGUGCAAACGAUCUGUACGUAGCGGGCGCACGGUCGUACGCCGCGUCAUCGCUACACGAAAAAGGUCUUUACACUCCACACCUCAAAAACAAACUUGGAGGCCGCUCGCCCGCUCCGAGUCAACAUUCGCGUGCCUCUAACUCGUCUCUUACUACAUUUUCGUCCUCAUUAAAUCGUUAAUUCAAUACGACUUCGCUAAUAAUCGCUGUAGAUGCUAAGCAAAUUUCGGUAAAAUUUAUUUGCCGUUGACUCAUUGUGGGUUUAGCAUAUUCUUGCUUAUGAAAUCCUCAAAAAGAGGCGUCGCCCGACUCUAAAAUUCCAAAUUAGAAACUCGCUUGAGCAAAGACACGUUCCGCCGAGAGGCCGUUUAUGUUAACGACUUCCCAAGUUAUCUGUCACAGGCCAGCAGCUUGUUUGUCAGAUGUUAAUUAAACAUUUACAGAACGUUCACAUCGAUUCAGGUGGAGAUGGCCACGUCAAGUAGAUUAACAGUUACGUCCGAUGGUCCGUGACGUUGAAUAUGGUUUAAUUAAUAAUUUUGAUUAACAGUAAUGGGCCGAGUGUACGCCACAUGUUGCGUUCUGAAGUAGCCCAUUAGGCCAGAGCUGAACAGUGGCUCUUUGAGUCGAAGGCGCUACAUCUCAUGUACGCGCACUUACAAUGUCUGACACUACGGCAUUAUUGCAUCAAAAGAAUACACAUGCGUUACGCGGGCGAGGUGUAGGGCUGCGUCUCUUUCUAUUUCGCAGCAUAGUGUUGCGGUCUCGUUCUCCACGCACGACGUCGGUCGCGGUCGGCUCGUCACAUCCCUCGGUUCGUAUACCUAGCGCAUAGGAGCUAGAUUGGCGCGCCGCGUAUUCAAAAUAGGAACGUUAGUAAUGGAUGGGAGCUGUGCGGUGGGGUGGAUGUGUGCGUGCGAGAGAGCCAGCGACCCUCCCCCGCCCGCCCCCGCGACGCCGCGGCAGCCGCGCGCGUUCACACAACCCGUUGGCCCGGACGGCGCGUCGCCCGCGUCGCGUGCGGGCCUUGUCGCGGCUGACAUCGACGCGCGAACACGUAUCGCUCAUUGUUUUUUUAUCAUCUUGAAACACUUCGCGCUCUCAACCGUACGAGACUUCUUAUAAGACUACGUCUACACAUUUUUUUUUCGAAGUUCUUUUUCGAAGUUUUGAGAUAGUGCAACAUGGAUAGUGAACUUCGAAUUUAGAAUGAAGAUUUUUUUUUUUUCGAAAUGAAAUCACUUGUAACUUAUACGAAAGCAAGGGAGCAAAGCGAAUGCUAGUGGCGUAAGGUUGUACGAUUAUUUUUGUCGAUAGUCAACUGGCUCUACAUUUCUGAAUGAUCAACUCAAACAUUUAAAAUAAAAACAAAAAAAUAAUUAAUCAAAUGGAAGUGAAAUAUUCCAACUUCGAAAUAAGUGAAGGAAGUGCCAUCUAGUGUCGGGAAAUGAAAAAAAAUACAGAGGCGCUGAAAAUAGUGUCAAGGAAAAUUGAAAAUAAAAAGAAAAGAGAAUAUGAGAAAUGUUCAUCAUGAAGUUUUACUACUGAACUGUGAGAUAUUGGAUUGAAUCGCUGCACUGUCAUGAGAUUCGAACGUGUCGGAAACUGGAAAAAAACAUCGCCGCGCCCAACCUGUUGUGGUUGGGGACAUUUGGUGAGCGCUCGAAUUUAUUCUUUACCCUUUUUUGCUCCACUUUUUAAGUUUAAAAAAUGUAAAUAAUACGAUCCUUUGAAAAUGUUGAGAUACAAGUGGUGUAAGGCUUGGGCACACCGCACUCAAGUGUUUAAAAUUUUAUUAAACUUUGAGAGAGCUAUUUUCCGGAAUAAAGUUA